ACUGGGCGUAAAGGGCGCGCAGGCGGCCCUAUGCGUCGGCGCUGAAAGCGCCCGGCUUAACCGGGCGAGGUGCGUCGAUACGAUGGGGCUAGAGGCAGGGAGAGGUUGGCGGAAUUCCGGGUGUAGUGGUGAAAUGCGUAGAGAUCCGGAGGAACGCCCGUGGCGUAAGCGGCCAACUGGUCCUGACCUGACGCUGAGGCGCGAAAGCGUGGGGAGCGAACCGGAUUAGAUACCCCGGGUAGUCCACGCCGUAAACGAUGUCGGCUCGGUGUGUGGUGAUGGAAACACCAUCGCUGCGUGCCUAAGCUCACGCGGUAAGCCGACCGCCUGGGGACUACGAGCGCAAGCUUAAAACUCAAAGGAAUUGACGGGGGCCCGCACAAGCAGCGGAGCGUGUGGUUUAAUUCGACGCAACGCGAAGAACCUUACCCAGGCUUGACAUGGUCCUGCAAGCGCACGGAAACGUGUGACCUUCGAGGGUGGACCACAGGUGCUGCAUGGCUGUCGUCAGCUCGUGUCGUGAGGUGUUGGGUUAAGUCCCGCAACGAGCGCAACCCU
rnacentral:rRNA from 1 species